AAGUCCCGUAACGAGCGCAACCCUCGCUGCGUGUUACAAGUGUCACGCAGGACCGCCGGUAUUAAGCCGGAGGAAGGUGGGGAUGACGUCAAGUCAGCAUGGCCUUUAUGCCUGGGGCUACACACACGCUACAAUGGGCAGUACAAUGGGUUGCUAAGCCGCGAGGUGGAGCCAAUCCCCCAAAACUGUCCUCAGUUCAGAUUGCAGGCUGCAACUCGCCUGCAUGAAGCCGGAGUUGCUAGUAAACGCGCGUCAGCUAUAGUGCGUUGAAUACGUUCUCGGGCCUUGUACACACCGCCCGU
rnacentral:rRNA from 1 species